CCUACGGGUGGCAGCAGUGAGGAAUAUUGGUCAAUGGACGCAAGCCUGAACCAGCCAAGUAGCGUGCAGGAUGACGGCCCUAUGGGUUGUAAACUUAUUUUAUAUGGGAAUAAAAUGCUCCACGUGUGGGGUUUUGUAUGUACCGUAUGAAUAAGGACCGGCUAACUCCGUGCCAGCAGCCGCGGUAAUACGGAGGGUCCGGGCGUUAUCCGGAUUUAUUGGGUUUAAAGGGAGCGUAGGUGGAGUGUUAAGUUAGUUGUGAAAGUUUGGGGCUCAACCGUAGGAUUGCAGGUGAAACUGGCAGGCUUGAGUGCAGGAGAGGUAGGCGGAAUUCGUGGUGUAGCGGUGAAAUGCUUAGAUAUCACGAAGAACUCCGAUUGCGAAGGCAGCAUACUGGAGCGCAACUGACGCUGAGGCUCGAAAGCGUGGGUAUCGAACAGGAUUAGAUACCCUAGUAGUC
rnacentral:rRNA from 1 species